ACUCACUGGGUCUGAGCUCUGUUCUGAGACUGCUGCCUCUCCUCGCAGUACCUCUCGUAGUGCUGUAUUUAUUGCUCUUCAGUGCCGAUUCGGGGCUUUUUGGAACCAGACUGAACAGAAACAGAAGUCUUUCUUUAGCCUUAGGCUGUUUAUCGAGCUGUCCAGAGUGGAGUGAUUGCUGCUACCCUUAUUGCAGUACCCCACUAAAGGAUCUUGAGUGGGAAGCAGAAAAUUGAUUCUGAGCACAAAGCUGUGUGUAUCAGGACAUGAGGAUAUUGGAAGCAUACAUAAUGGCAUUUUUACAUCAUGGUCAACUGAAAGCCACACCUUCUGCUUCAGUUAUGGUUGAGCAUACGUGAUGUGUGUAUCCUUCAAUUACUCCAUCCAAACAGCCUGUCCGACUACACCAUUCACUCUGCACACUCAUAUCCUAACCAUCUUUCAGGUCUCACUGAAGUUCUGCCUCAUGCCUGAAGUUUCCCUUGGCUGCUCUGUUGUAUAGUUCCUGUACCUCAUUUCUAAUUGUCAUCAAUUAAUUAGUGGUGCUUGUUUGCACCACUCAUUAGGCAUCUAUCUACUCCCACUAGAC